GGCUCAGUGGUCUAGUGGUAUGAUACUCCCUUUGGGUGCUAGAGGCCACGGGUUCAGAUUCCCGUCUGAGCCC
rfam:Nematostella vectensis strain CH2 x CH6 NEMVEscaffold_330_Cont24018, whole genome shotgun sequence.